CAGUCGAGGGGUAUUGGUUUUCGGACCAGAGACCGGCGCACGGGUGCGUAACGCGUAUGCAAUCUACCUUUCACAGAGGGAUAGCCCAGAGAAAUUUGGAUUAAUACCUCAUAGUAUGCAGAGUUGGCAUCAACCCUGCAUUAAAGUCACAACGGUGAAAGAUGAGCAUGCGUCCCAUUAGCUAGUUGGUAAGGUAACGGCUUACCAAGGCAACGAUGGGUAGGGGUCCUGAGAGGGAGAUCCCCCACACUGGUACUGAGACACGGACCAGACUCCUACGGGAGGCAGCAGUGAGGAAUAUUGGACAAUGGGCGCAAGCCUGAUCCAGCCAUGCCGCGUGCAGGAUGACGGUCCUAUGGAUUGUAAACUGCUUUUGUACGAGAAGAAACACUCCUUCGUGAAGGAGCUUGACGGUAUCGUAAGAAUAAGGAUCGGCUAACUCCGUGCCAGCAGCCGCGGUAAUACGGAGGAUCCAAGCGUUAUCCGGAAUCAUUGGGUUUAAAGGGUCCGUAGGCGGUUUAGUAAGUCAGUGGUGAAAGCCCAUCGCUCAACGGUGGAACGGCCAUUGAUACUGCUAGACUUGAAUUAUUAGGAAGUAACUAGAAUAUGUAGUGUAGCGGUGAAAUGCUUAGAGAUUACAUGGAAUACCAAUUGCGAAGGCAGGUUACUACUAAUGGAUUGACGCUGAUGGACGAAAGCGUGGGUAGCGAACAGGAUUAGAUACCCUGGUAGUCCACGCCCGUAACGAUGGAUACUAGCUGUUGGGAGCGAUCUCAGUGGCUAA
rnacentral:rRNA from 1 species